rnacentral:rRNA from 1 species
UGAGGAAUAUUGGUCAAUGGUCGGAAGACUGAACCAGCCAAGCCGCGUGAAGGAAGAAGGGUGCUCGGCAGUCGUAAACUUCUUUUGUCAGGGAACAAAGGGCGGUACGCGUACCGCUGUGAGUGUACCUGAAGAAAAAGCAUCGGCUAACUCCGUGCCAGCAGCCGCGGUAAUACGGAGGAUGCGAGCGUUAUCCGGAUUUAUUGGGUUUAAAGGGUGCGCAGGCGGCGCGGUAAGUCAGCGGUCAAAGCCCGGGGCUCAACCCCGGCGAGCCGUUGAAACUGCCGGGCUAGAGUAAGGUCGAGGUAUGCGGAAUGCGCGGUGUAGCGGUGAAAUGCAUAGAUAUCGCGCAGAACUCCGAUUGCGAAGGCAGCAUACCGGUCCUUUACUGACGCUCAGGCACGAAAGCGUGGGGAUCAAACAGGAUUAGAUACC